UGGAAUGCAGUGGUGCAAGCAUAGCUCACUGCAGCCUUGCACUCCUGAGCUCAAGCAAUCCUUCUGCUUCAGCUUCCUGAGUAGAUAAGACUGCAGGUGCGCACCACCAUGCCAAGUUAAUUUUUAAUUUUUUUUCUGUAGAGAUGAAGUCUAUGUUGCCCAGGCUCAUCUUGAACUCCUGGCCUCAAGUGAUCCUUCUGCCUCAGCCUCCGAAAGCACUGGGAUUACAGGCAUAAGCCACUGUGCCCGGCUGAUAAAUAUCUAAUUAAUGCAGGGUUGAAUAGGUGAUUGAAUACAUGAAUGGAAUCAGUAGGCACUUAUUUAUUUGCUUUAGCAUCUAUUAAAUAGUCACCAUCUUGUGGGUUGUAGUUACUGUACAACUGAAGUGUUUGUAGGUGUUUGACAUGCACAUUUGAAGUAGCAUGAAAAAGCCACCUGACUAGGCAGUGUGAUAGGAUUACUGAUUUCUGCUGAUAGCCAGGCCUACCUCACUCCGGGAUUCUAGAAUUAUACUUUUGCAUGGAAUAUCUCUCCUUGUGCUAACUCCUGAUUUGACUUGCAUCACAUCACCAAAGUGUUUCCGGUCAUCUAGGUCUUUUGGAAACUCUGGGGCCAAGAAUCCUUGAAAGACCUAAAGGAAGCAUUUUGAGGAACUGGGCCCCCUCGUGGCCUGUCCUUGGCAGGGGCUUUGGACUGGUAUGGAAGUCUCCCAUAUCCAUGCGUCUGGGCAAAAUGCAAAUGGCAGUAACACCACCAGCUCCUUAUUUCUCACUGAUGCUGGACAGAGACCCAGCAACCUUUACCCUGGAAGUAAUCAAGUGGUUUUGACAUGAACUCUGAGGUGGGGCUUGGUUUUUCAAGAAACCCUCUCUCCUGUCAAGCCAGGUCUAUUCUGGAUGCCAGGACCAGAGAAGUGGCCACCACCACGUGGAGCAGUUGAGACCAUUGGUGAGGCAGAGGCAAGGGCCUCCAGCCAGCUAAUGUGAUGGACACGGUAUCUGGAGAGUCCUGCAUUUCAAAACUUACUCUAAGGAAGACUGCUUUGAUUUUCAAAGUCUCUAGUCUACAGAGAGAUUGAGCUCUGGCUGCAAGACACUGUCUAUCAUAGAGCCACAUGGCGACAUUGCCGUAGAGAAGAGACAUAAAUAACCACAACUGCCAGAAAAUAAAGCUGGUAAUCUCUAGAAAUGCCUGGAUACAUUAAAAUGAAAUAUAACCCAGUACUCUGGUUCUUUAGACCCCGUUGAAUACUUUGUUCUCAGUCAGCUGAUAAAAUUUUAAUUUAUUAUUGCGUGUUUAUGAUGAAAUGUAACAUAACUCAUUCAUUGUGUCUGUUAAUCCUCUCAUUCAUAAAAAUAGCAUAUGUGUUGAUGAUCUACAUUAAAGUAAUUGUUUACCAUGGGUAGUAUUAUAGCGAUAAUCUAUAAAUAAUGUGAAAGUUUGUAGAAAAUUAAAGUAUAUAGAACUGUAGAAAGAGAUAAAUCUUUAAAUAUUUAAGGUUUUGAUCUGCUUGUAUAAUGAACUGGUGUUUUAGCCAUUUGAGCCACCUAGUGGUAAUAUACAUGAGAUAUGAUUUCUUAUUCUGAAAAAAAAUGUAAAAGUUUAACAGUUUCCAAUUUAAAAGGAAUAAACUAAGUAAAGCGAAUCAUAACCAUUAUAUAUUAUACAUUCAGCUUUUGAAUUAUUACUUAUUGGUAGAAGAUUGACUAUUAGAAAAUAAAUUAUAAAAACAGUUCUUUGCUUAUUUUGUUUCUUCUAAUAGAGGCCACAUAGCCAAGAAAAUUAAAAUUAUAAAAAAUUAUAAUUGAAGGGGAUAUUUGCAAUAUGUAUAAGAAAGAAAAAGCAAUCAAAUAUUUAGUGGACUAAAAUGAAUAAUACACUUUCCAACUUAAUUGUAUUCCAAUGUAACCUUUGAUAAGUGGUCUUCAGUGUAGUCAUAUUCUCUUAAGUCUGUCUUUUAGCCAAUCAUUAGUCUGUCUUCUUAUAUUCAAGGAACAAAACUGAAUCACUAAUCUGCUCAGUGAUCCAUUAGAAAUACUCUGUAACUGAUCACACUGUGUCUAAUUUUAGAUUUCUUUUACUGGGAACUGUAGAUCAAAGCAAGUUUCCAUUUUGGCUCUAUUCUGGUAUAAUAACUUCCGGCAGAGCCAAAUCAUGAAAUACUGCUAACUUCACGUGUUAGAAUCCACAUUCAUCUUUGCCUUGUUAACUUUUAAGGAGCUUUUUAUUUAUUGUUCCAAGAAUGCCAGGUUCUUUGGUUUCCUGCUUUCUUAAAUUGCCAUGUGUCUCUAAAUAGGUUUUUUUCAAAAUCGGAAUUAGCACAAAGAUAGAUAGAUUUGUCUUCUUUGAAUUCACCAGCCUCCCUACUUGGUAGGAUUGCAAAACUAUCUUAUGAACCCAGCAGAGAAAAUAUCCUCUCUUCUUGAUGAUCCUGCUUGUUGGAACUCUGACCUCUCCAUUUCUUCUGUGGUUUCACUGGGUAAUCUGAAGACAAGUCUUCACAUGUGGUUCCUGGAAGCAAUGACAUCUAAAGUUGAUCUAAAGUCGAGAGGAUUGAAGCGUGCCAGCCUGAGUCGUUUUGAACUCAGCUCUAGUGAGAAGUCUGAGAUAUUCUCUGGUGUCAAACUCAGGAGAUGUGAAUUGUGGUGCUGCUUCCUGCUUUGUGGAGAAAAUCAGUCCAGAAGAUGAGAUGGCAGCUGACAGCAGAAACAGGCAGAGACAUAGAGCAGGGAACAUGCCUGAGCCACGCUUUUUGGAACCAGUACAUUUCCCCUUUUGCCUCAGCUAGUUGGAGUUGGGUUUCUGUCACUUACAUCCCAAAGAGUCCUGAUUAGUACAGAGCAGAUACUGCCUGCAUAGUCAAGUAACUUGUUCAAGGGUUAUCAGUGAACAGAACAUUCUGGAAGGUAAGGGAAAACAGCAGGUUCCAGAGUCCCAAGAAUCAGGAAGAUGAUGAUCAGG
rnacentral:lncRNA from 1 species